rnacentral:tRNA from 1 species
ACCUGGGUGGCUCAGUCAGUUGAGUGUCUGACUUUGGCUCAGAUCAUGAUCUCACGGUUUGUGGGUUCAAGCCCCACGUCGGGCU